rnacentral:rRNA from 1 species
GAUGAACACUGGCGGCGUGCCUAAUACAUGCAAGUCGAGCGAACAGACGAGGAGCUUGCUCCUCUGACGUUAGCGGCGGACGGGUGAGUAACACGUGGAUAACCUACCUAUAAGACUGGGAUAACUUCGGGAAACCGGAGCUAAUACCGGAUAAUAUAUUGAACCGCAUGGUUCAAUAGUGAAAGACGGUUUUGCUGUCACUUAUAGAUGGAUCCGCGCCGCAUUAGCUAGUUGGUAAGGUAACGGCUUACCAAGGCAACGAUGCGUAGCCGACCUGAGAGGGUGAUCGGCCACACUGGAACUGAGACACGGUCCAGACUCCUACGGGAGGCAGCAGUAGGGAAUCUUCCGCAAUGGGCGAAAGCCUGACGGAGCAACGCUGCGUGAGUGAUGAAGGUCUUCGGAUCGUAAAACUCUGUUAUUAGGGAAGAACAAAUGUGUAAGUAACUAUGCACGUCUUGACGGUACCUAAUCAGAAAGCCACGGCUAACUACGUG